GACGAACGCUGGCGGCGUGCUUAACACAUGCAAGUCGAACGGUGAAGCACCUUCCUUUUGGUGGGUGUGGAUGAGUGGCGAACGGGUGAGUAACACGUGAGUAACCUGCCCCCUUCUUCUGGAUAACCGCAUGAAAGUGUGGCUAAUACGGGAUAUUUUGUGCCUGCUGCAUGGUGGGUGUGGGAAAGAUGCGCUUUUGGGUGUUUUUGGUGGGGGAUGGGCUCGCGGCCUAUCAGCUUGUUGGUGGGGUGAUGGCCUACCAAGGCGGUGACGGGUAGCCGGCCUGAGAGGGUGGACGGUCACACUGGGACUGAGACACGGCCCAGACUCCUACGGGAGGCAGCAGUGGGGAAUAUUGCACAAUGGGCGCAAGCCUGAUGCAGCGACGCCGCGUGAGGGAUGGAGGCCUUCGGGUUGUAAACCUCUUUCGCCAGUGAAGCAGGCCUGUCCCUUGUGGGUGGGUUGACGGUAGCUGGAUAAGAAGCGCCGGCUAACUACGUG
rnacentral:rRNA from 1 species